AUGCGGGUGAUGAGUAGUUUGGGAAGCAAACCGGGAAUCAGAGAUGCGCUUUUCUCUGAGGGAAGCUGGAGCGCACCUCUUCUCACGGGGCUUUUCCAGACAACCGAGGGAGGACCGCGACUCUCCCGUCCUCAUCGCCGCGCGUCGGCGCCCGCGACAGUGACCACUGCAGCGGCCUGGAGUGUGGAGGCGCCUUCCGAAACGCGGAUCCGCCACGUGGGCCCAGACUGCACCACCGUGGGCCUGUGUCCCCUGAUCCGAGCCGCCUCUCCAUUUCAGUCCUCCCUCAGCUGCUCUUCCUGGACAGGUGACAAGUCCUCCUGGUGUUGCUGGACAGUGUCCCCUGCGGCUUUGCUGAGAUUUUAUUUCAUUAUUUCCGGCGUGUUUCCGCAUCUGUGUGAUGGCGUCUUUGAAAUCCGCAUCACUUCUGGCGGGCACGGGGGUCCUCCCGCCUGUCUGCUGACCGUGACUUCUCACUCGGCCCUCGAUAAAAAGACCAAGCUCUCUGCAACCCGCCCCGCGCAGAGCUCCUCGAGCUUCCCAGGCUCUGCGCUGGCGCUGGCGGUGAGCACGGCGGGGGCCGGGCGGGGGCCAGGCGGGGGCCGGGCGGGGGCCCAGCGGAUUUGUGCCCUGGGAGUGGAAAACCUGCGGAAUGAGGACACUCCCCGCAGCGCCCACGCUGUUAACCCAGACUCAGCCGGGUCCGCCGGCCGAGGAGGCUGUCAGCGGCGUUCAUUGUUCUGA
rnacentral:lncRNA from 1 species